rnacentral:rRNA from 1 species
GAUGAACGCUGGCGGCGUGCCUAAUACAUGCAAGUCGAGCGAACAGACGAGGAGCUUGCUCCUCUGACGUUAGCGGCGGACGGGUGAGUAACACGUGGAUAACCUACCUAUAAGACUGGGAUAACUUCGGGAAACCGGCGCUAAUACCGGAUAAUAUAUUGAACCGCAUGGUUCAAUAGUGAAAGACGGUUUUGCUGUCACUUAUCGAUGGAUCCGCGCCGCAUUAGCUAGUUGGUAGGGUAACGGCUUACCAAGGCAACGAUGCGUAGCCGACCUGAGAGGGGGAUAGGCCACACUGGAACUUGACCACGGUCCAGACUCCUACGGGAGGCAGCAGUAGGGAAUCUGCCGCAAUGGGCGAAAGCCUGACGGAGCAACGCCGCGUGAGAGAUGAAGGUCUUCGGAUCGUAAAACCCUGUUAUUAGGUAAGAACAAAUGUGGAAGUAACUAUGCACGUCUUGACGGUACCUGAUCAGAAAGCCACGGCUAACUACGUG